UACAGAGGCCCCAAGCAUUAUCCGGAAUCACUGGGCGUAAAGGGUGUCAAGGCGGUUAUAUUAGUCGUUCGUUAAAUCUGUGGGCUCAACCUAUAGGCUGCGAGCGAAACGGUAUGACUUGAGGUUGGGAGAGGUGCGUGGAACUCACGGUGUAGGGGUGAAAUCCGUUGAUAUCGUGGGGAACACCAAAGGCGAAGGCAGCGCACUGGCCCAAAUCUGACGCUCACACACGAAAGCCAGGGUAGCGAACGGG
rnacentral:rRNA from 1 species